AGUGAGAUAACUGCAUCAAAUGGUGAAUCUAUUCCAAAUUUUCUGAGAAAUCUCCAUACUGCUUUCCAGAGUGGAUGCACCAAUUUGCAGUCCCACCAGCAAU
rnacentral:pre_miRNA from 1 species